rnacentral:rRNA from 1 species
CAAUAGCGUAUAUUAAAGUUGUUGCAGUUAAAAAGCUCGUAGUUGAAUUUCUGGCGGGCGCGCCGGUCUUCCAAGUGUUGUACUGGGCGCAGUCCGCCAUCCUUGUGGAGAGGGCUCGCAUUGAGUUGCGUGUCGGAUCUGCAUCAUUUACUGUGAAAAAAUUAGAGUGUUUAAAGCAGGCUGUCGCUUGAAUACAUUAGCAUGGAAUAAUAAGAUAGGACUUCGGUCUAUUUUGUUGGUUGCGAACCGAGGUAAUGAUUAAUAGGGACAGUUGGGGGUAUUCGUAUUGCAUUGUCAGAGGUGAAAUUCUUGGAUCUUUGCAAGACGAACGACUGCGAAAGCAUUUACCAAGGAUGUUUUCAUUAA